CACAAAUUAGCUUAAAUUUAAAGUGUUGAGUUUUUACUUCAAGGAUGGUGUGUAGAAUCAUUUGUGA
rnacentral:tRNA from 2 species